AUUGAACGCUGGCGGCAUGCUUUACACAUGCAAGUCGAACGGUAACAGGCCUUCGGGUGCUGACGAGUGGCGAACGGGUGAGUAAUGCAUCGGAACGUACCCAGAGGUGGGGGAUAACGCAGCGAAAGCUGUGCUAAUACCGCAUGUGAUCUGAGGAUGAAAGCGGGGGACCGGGCAGCAAUGUUUGGCCUCGCGCCUUUGGAGCGGCCGAUGUCGGAUUAGCUAGUUGGGGGGGUAAAGGCCUACCAAGGCGACGAUCCGUAGCUGGUCUGAGAGGACGACCAGCCACACUGGGACUGAGACACGCCCCAGACUCCUACGGGAGGCAGCAGUGGGGAAUGUUGGACAAUGGGCGCAAGCCUGAUCCAGCAAUGCCGCGUGCGGGAAGAAGGCCUUCGGGUUGUAAACCGCUUUUGGCAGGAACGAAACGGUGUCCGCUAAUACCGGGCGCUAAUGACGGUACCUGCAGAAUAAGCACCGGCUAACUACGUG
rnacentral:rRNA from 1 species